rnacentral:tRNA from 1 species
AAAAAUUUAGUUAAAAUAUAACAUUAGCUUGUCAAGUUAAAAUCAUCAGCCAAUUGAUAAUUUUUA